rnacentral:precursor_RNA from 1 species
AUCAUGACCUUGCUUGCCGCCUCCUAGACCACGGUACCUAUGUGUGUGCGUGCGCGCGUGCGUCUACAAAUACAUACCCAUGCAUGCUCCUCACACACCUUGCCAAGAAAUAGAGAUGAGAGGAUGAGAGGGGCUCGAUCGGGAGAAAGAAGGGGGAAAGAUAUGAAGCUACUUGCUUCUGAGUGGAAUGUUGUCUGGUUCAAGGUCUUGCUUUCCGAUUUGAGGAUGAUCCAUGCUUGCAUGUGUAGUUUUUUUUGUUCCUCAGAUCUACAAGAUCUCGGACCAGGCUUCAUUCCCCUCAGGAAUAGCUUCAAAAUAAUACCGCCGGAGAGUUAUUAGGAGGAGCUGCUAGUACUACAUAAACUUGUGUUCUUGGUCUUUGAUUCUGAAAUAUUUUCUUGGAGUUUUCGUGAGUUUCCUGGUUGUUCUUGUAGUACAGUGGGGAGUACUACUGUGUUUUCCACUCCUAGCUAGCUAGAUCUUACUUUUCCACACAGUGCCUUUUUUUUUGUUUGCUUGCUUGCUGCAGAGAUCGAGGUCGAGGAGCAGCAAGAUUGGUGUAAUGAUGGCCUACUUCCUCUUCUCUUUCUUCUGUGUAUCUGGCAGGUGAUGAAAGUUUUCAUCAUUACAUUUUGAUUGGGAGAAUCUUCGCUCUCUCUCUCUCUCUCUCUCUCUCUCUCCUCUCUAUAUAGCACGUUCUCUAUCUCUUUUCUUCUUCGUAUUCAUUGUUCCUCCUCUCCAUCUCUCUACUAUGCCUGCACGGACUGUUGUUACGGUGCUCACAUGGUUUUGUAGAGCAUGGUAUUUAAACAAGGCUGGUGUAAACUUUAUAU